rnacentral:rRNA from 1 species
GAACGCGGGCGGCAGGCCUAACACAUGCAAGUCGAACGGUAACAGGAAGCAGCUUGCUGCUUCGCUGACGAGUGGCGGACGGGUGAGUAAUGUCUGGGAAGCUGCCUGAUGGAGGGGGAUAACUACUGGAAACGGUAGCUAAUACCGCAUAAUGUCGCAAGACCAAAGAGGGGGACCUUCGGGCCUCUUGCCAUCGGAUGUGCCCAGAUGGGAUUAGCUUGUUGGUGGGGUAACGGCUCACCAAGGCGACGAUCCCUAGCUGGUCUGAGAGGAUGACCAGCCACACUGGAACUGAGACACGGUCCAGACUCCUACGGGAGGCAGCAGUGGGGAAUAUUGCACAAUGGGCGCAAGCCUGAUGCAGCCAUGCCGCGUGUAUGAAGAAGGCCUUCGGGUUGUAAAGUACUUUCAGCGGGGAGGAAGGGAGUAAAGUUAAUACCUUUGCUCAUUGACGUUACCCGCAGAAGAAGCACCGGCUAACUCCGUGCCAGCAGCCGCGGUAAUACGGAGGGUGCAAGCGUUAAUCGGAAUUACUGGGCGUAAAGCGCACGCAGGCGGUUUGUUAAGUCAGAUGUGAAAUCCCCGGGCUCAACCUGGGAACUGCAUCUGAUACUGGCAAGCUUGAGUCUCGUAGAGGGGGGUAGAAUUCCAGGUGUAGCGGUGAAAUGCGUAGAGAUCUGGAGGAAUACCGGUGGCGAAGGCGGCCCCCUGGACGAAGACUGACGCUCAGGUGCGAAAGCGUGGGGAGCAAACAGGAUUAGAUACCCUGGUAGUCCACGCCGUAAACGAUGUCGACUUGGAGGUUGUGCCCUUGAGGCGUGGCUUCCGGAGCUAACGCGUUAAGUCGACCGCCUGGGGAGUACGGCCGCAAGGUUAAAACUCAAAUGAAUUGACGGGGGCCCGCACAAGCGGUGGAGCAUGUGGUUUAAUUCGAUGCAACGCGAAGAACCUUACCUGGUCUUGACAUCCACGGAAGUUUUCAGAGAUGAGAAUGUGCCUUCGGGAACCGUGAGACAGGUGCUGCAUGGUUGUCGUCAGCUCGUGUUGUGAAAUGUUGGGUUAAGUCCCGCAACGAGCGCAACCCUUAUCCUUUGUUGCCAGCGGUCCGGCCGGGAACUCAAAGGAGACUGCCAGUGAUAAACUGGAGGAAGGUGGGGAUGACGUCAAGUCAUCAAGGCCCUUACGACCAGGGCUACACACGUGCUACAAUGGCGCAUACAAAGAGAAGCGACCUCGCGAGAGCAAGCGGACCUCAUAAAGUGCGUCGUAGUCCGGAUUGGAGUCUGCAACUCGACUCCAUGAAGUCGGAAUCGCUAGUAAUCGUGGAUCAGAAUGCCACGGUGAAUACGUUCCCGGGCCUUGUACACACCGCCCGUCACACCAUGGGAGUGGGUUGCAAAAGAAGUAGGUAGCUUAACCUUCGGGAGGGCGCUUACCACUUUGUGAUUCAUGACUGGGGUGAAGUCGGAACAAGGUA